UCGGGAAUUUUGGGCAAUGGGCGAAAGCCUGACCCAGCAACGCCGCGUGAAGGAUGAAGUAUUUCGGUAUGUAAACUUCGUAAGAAUAGGAAGAAUAAAUGACGGUACUAUUUAUAAGGUCCGGCUAACUACGUGCCAGCAGCCGCGGUAAUACGUAGGGACCAAGCGUUGUUCGGAUUUACUGGGCGUAAAGGGCGCGUAGGCGGCAUGACAAGUCACUUGUGAAAUCUCUGGGCUUAACCCAGAACGGCCAAGUGAUACUGUCGCGCUAGAGUGCAGAAGGGGCAAUCGGAAUUCUUGGUGUAGCGGUGAAAUGCGUAGAUAUCAAGAGGAACACCUGAGGUGAAGACGGGUUGCUGGGCUGACACUGACGCUGAGGCGCGAAAGCCAGGGGAGCAAACGGGAUUAGAUACCCGGGUAGUCCCUGAGCGGGCUGGCAAGGCGCAU
rnacentral:rRNA from 1 species